UUCUAGGUCUUCAUUGUCUGAUUUUAUUUUUGUAUGAAAAUAUGAAUAUUAGCUUUCUUUUCUGUUUGAAUUUAUUUUGCAAGCCAAUCCACUUGAUUCAAAGAGCUCAUUUUUUAACAAACAAGAAAUCCAAAAAGGGAUCCAGUUCUCUCUUGGUAAUAAAUCAUUUUACGGUAGGACCACAGAUAACUUGACUGAAGAAAAAAUCAAGGAUGCACAAGAAAUACAAAUUAUGUGCAGAAUAAUCAAUACCAGACUCUACAAAUGGAUACAGAACAUGGAGGUUACAUGCAGAGAUAACUGGGCCAGGUUUGGAGACAGAAACCCAAGUAGUCAGGGUGGCAAGGGAAUAAGGCAUGUAUUAGGAGAUUAAGAAGUGUUACAGAAGAUGAUGGUUGGGUUUUUGUGUAGGAAUGCACACAGCGACAACAAAACAUCACAGGGAGGAAGGAAGGAUAUAAAGAAAAAAAUAGGACCACAUUAAUAGAAAAGAACUAUAGAUUCUCUGGAAUGCAAUGGAUCAAAUUCAGCCAUGGUUAAAGAGAGUCCUCUUAUGGAAUUCAACAGAUUGCACACUCAUUCACACAAUUGUAUUCAUGGGGUUAUGAAUUUUAAUCCAUUGUUUUACAGAUAUACAGAUAACUUAAUCUAUCAAAAAGAGAUUGUACAGUUCUCAGAUUGGUUUUAUAUUUAUAUUUUAUAUUUCCAGAAACAUGCAUUGCUUUAGCUAUUUUCUUGGAAAAAUAAAUCAUGAAGUCUAAUUGUUUUAGGAAUGCAAUUAUAUUAACUGAAGUGAUAGAACUUUCCUUUGUCUAACCUAUCUUCUUUCUCAGUACUAAGAGCACAAAUGUUAGAAUACAGUAAAGCUUCAAAUCUCUGGACCUUCAUUCAUCAGACCAAGGACAACAAAAGACAAAAUUUUACUUCAGACUUAACUUCCUCAAUGAAUACAUUCCACUAUUUCCAAAGCAGUCCAGACAAUUGAUAUAAUCUAUGUAAUUUGUGUGGUUAUCUGACAAUUUUAAUAGUUAAAUAAUGAUGCAAAAGGUAUAAAUGUCACUAUGAAAAUUCAAUUUUAAUGGACAUUCCGCCAAUAUCCAUUAAACUGAAAUUUUAUUUUUUAAAAAAUGACAUCAGGAUCUAUUGUCGGUACUGGAUUUUCCAAUUAAUUAAUAUUAAAAUAAAGCUAAGAUGUUUUCCUAUAUAUAAGAAAUAAACAAUCUCCACAUGUUCUGGACUACCUCUUCCACAAUCACUUGCCAGUGGCCAGGGUAGCUCUUUACAUCUAUUUAUUUGGUAGUUGGCAAAAGCUAAGAGAACUUGGUAUCACAAUAGUCUUACCUUUCUACUACAUAAAGUUUCUGAUGUUUUUAAUAUGCUUGAUUUUCAUUUCUGUAUAACAUUCAAUUUUGGUUAUAAUUUUAUAAAAAAUCUGGAGAUAUGUCCUAUUGGACUAAAUUAAACCUAUUCUGUACAUUGACUAAUAAUGUAUAGGAUUGAAUGUUAUGUUUAUGUUUUUUAGAUUAAACAAAAGGCCCAAUCUAUUCUAUUUGCAAUAUUGACCAAUCUGGAGCAGAUAAACAGUUUGUACAGAGCAAGCCAGCAUACAGGCACGUAAGACAGAUAUGUUCAGGCUCAAAAACCAGGAGCAAAGCAAAACUUUCAUGGUAGGAAAGACAAAGGAAUGAUGCAAUUGGAUUUUAAGAGCCACAUCAUGGAAUUACCUGGUUCUUGUCAAGCUCACAGUUCUUAUAUUCCUGUUCUCCUUGCUCUUGAAAUGUGACAAUGACGAAACCAACAAAGAU